CCUACGGGUGGCAGCAGUGGGGAAUAUUGCACAAUGGGGGGAACCCUGAUGCAGCAACGCCGCGUGGGUGAAGACGUACUUCGGGAUGUUAAGCUCUGUCUGCAGGGGAGAAAAUGACGGUACCUGACCAAUAAGCCCCGGCUAACUACGUGCCAGCAGCCCCGGUAAUACGUAGGGGGCCAGCGUUAUCCGGAUUUACUGGGUGUAAAGGGAGCGUAGACGGGAAGGCAAGUCUGGAGUGAAAGCCUGUGGACCAACCACGGGACUGCUUUUGAUACUGUCUGUCUGGAGUGCAGGUGAGGUAAGCGGAAUUCGUGGUGUAGCGGUGAAAUGCGUAGAUAUCACGAAGAACACCGAUGGCGAAGGCGGCUUACUGGACUGUAACUGACAUUGAUGCUCGAAGGUGUGGGGAGCAAACAGGAUUAGAUACCCCAGUAGUC
rnacentral:rRNA from 1 species